GAGCGCGUAGCUCAGUUGGAAGAGCAUUGGGCUGGUAUUCCAAAGGUCGUAGGUUCGAAUCCCACCGUGGCCA